CUCACAUAAUAAGUCAAAAAGAGGAUUACCUUUUAUAAUAUAUACAAAAAAUAUAUAUUCACCAGCUACAACAUCAAAACUCUGUUCCUUUUUCCUACAAAUUAUUUCGGUAGUUUCGGUAUAGAAGCCCUGUGAUGAUAAAUCUGAGGAAAUUAACCGACUUGCCAUUUGAGGUCCUCGACCUAGUCUUUUCGGAAUUAAGUCUCAAAAAGAAACUGGAACUGGCUCAGGCUCAUGAGUAUCUAGGAAACGCAUUUUCCUAUCACAGUAGAGAAAAUUACAAGAGCUUAAGAGAUAUUUUCAAAUCAUAUUCCGGCUUACCCACAGAAUUGUGGGAGGUUCUUUUGAAGUAUUGCGGUUCUACCAUCAAGGAAUUGAUAUGGGAUGAUCAUUUGGCACUUGCAAUUCAGCAGUACUGCCCAAACCUAGAAUCCGUAUUUAUUUAUGUGCAUCCGGGAUCAUAUGACACCAUCCAGGAUUUCUUAAUCGAGCGAAAGGACUCCCUUAAAUUUAUUGAAAUAAUUUUACAAAGCGAUGUCCCCAUAAGAAUCUUGAAUUUGGUGACCGGUAUGACCAACCUUACAAAAUUCUAAAUAAGUAAGCAUCUAGAUGAUAGAUGGAAUAAGAAAUGUAAGCAGGAGUUGAAUAUCGAACGUCUUGCAGAUGAGUACGAACCUUGUGUGAACGUAUUUCGAAUUGGUUCUUCAGCAGGGACUUAUGGUGUAGUUACACUGCCCAAAUUAUUGUAAGAUUUGUAUUGUAUCUAUGUGUCUUAUAAUAAAAAAAUAUAUACUCAUGCAUUUUCGGAACCCA